CCCUUCUUGAGGUUUUUCAUUUCAUUUCAGGAGUCAGCCUCCCCCAACCACACUAAGAAUGCAAUUCCUCUUCUAUCACCUUCCCAGACAUCGCCGUCAAAGCUGCCACUUCCACCACCAACUCCACCACAGCUUCGUCGACUUCGCUGCCAUCAAACAACUGCGCGACCGGGGCCUUGACCAUGCAGUGAAGAGGGAAAAACAUCUAAAGCCGUUGCUCAACAUAAAGAACCUUAUAAAAUUAGAGCCGGCAAAAUCUCUCCCCCUCUCCAUAAUCUGUCAAAAUAAAGACUCCCUCAAAAUCCCAAUUCGCCCAAUUGACUUUAUCCGAAAAUACCCUUCAAUUUUCGAGGAAUUUCUCCCUGGUGGCAUAGGUAUCCAUCCCCACAUCAAGCUCACUCCACAGGUACUUGAUCUUGAUUCUGAAGAAGAGUUAGUUUAUCAGAGUGAGAGUUAUAAACAGGAUAUUGCUAAUAGACUGUUAAAAUUGUUAAUGAUUUCAAGAAUUGAUAAAAUACCUCUAAAAAUUCUUGAUGAAAUAAAAUGGGAUUUGGGUUUACCUGAGGACUAUGUGAAAAGUUUAGUUCCUGAUUUUCCUGACUGUUUUAGAGUAAUUGGUAACAAUUUAUCACCUGGGUUGGAUUCAAAUUUGCAAUUGGAGUUGGUUUGUUGGAAUAAUGAGAAGGCUAUUUCUUUAAUGGAAAAGAAGGCAACAAGUGGAAAAUUGGAUUACCAAAAGGGGAUGCCUAUUGCUUUCUCUAUGCAAUUUUCUACAGGGUUUGAGAUGGAUAAGCAGUUGAAGAAGUGGUAUAAUGAGUGGCAAAAGUUGCCUUAUAUUUCUCCAUAUGAGAAUGCAACACACCUAGGGCCUAGUACUGAUGAGUCUGAUAAGUGGACGGUGGGGGUUUUGCAUGAGGUUCUUAGUCUUUUUGUUUCAAAGAAGGUAGAGAGAGAUACUUUAUUUGGUCUAGGAGAGUGGCUGGGUAUCAGGUCGAGGUUUAAGAGAGCAUUGCUUCAUCAUCCAGGGAUCUUUUACUUGUCAGGUAAGAUGGGAACUGUGGUUUUGAGGGAGGCCUAUAAGAGGGGAUUGGUAAUGGAGAAUAAUCCACUAAAAAAUAUUAGGAAUCAGUAUGUUCAUCUCAUGAACAAAGUAACUGAAGAUCGUAAAGUAGUUGUUGGGCCUGGUGGAAAUAAACAACAAGAGAAAAAGACAGCUGAUGAAUCUAAGGAACAAAGGGAAAAAGAUGAUGAUUGUGAUAGUGUGGAGAUGAAUGAUAUGGAUUCUCAUUCUUCGGACAGUGAUGACUAUGAAUAUGAUGAUGAGGAGGACAAUGAGGGGGGUCCAAGUAAGACACAUGCUGGUAGAAAUACCCUGACAAGGGGGUCAAGAUCAUAUAAGAAGAAUUUGAAUGCAAGAGGUUCUACAAGAAAUGCUGGAAGAGAAAGGUUGCUUCAGAAACCCCGGGGCACAACCAAUAAUAAAGUGUCACCAAAAGAACCUAGCAGAAGAGAAAUGAGUAAAUGGCAUAAUGUCCGUGAGAGUUCACGAGAUAGGUUGACUUCCCUUAAGGGCAAGAGGGGAUCAUUUAUAGAUAAAAGAAGAGCCACUUAGUGAAGAAUAAUUUCUCUGUUGAAACAAAAAAUGGCAGGUCUCUGUUGGAUGCAUCUUCAAUUAUGCAAAAACUCAAGAUGUCCGGCGGUGCUAUAUAGGGAGAACAUAAUAUUGGUUGCCAUUGUUUGUGAUCGUCAAGGUUGGCCAAGACUUAGACUCCAGAGUAUAAUGGGUUACAGUUAUGACACAUAAGAGGCUUUGACAGGCGGAGGUUUGGAGAUAUGAUUUGUGUGGUGUGAUUCUCAAAUUGUUUGAGAGAUAUUAUGUGGCUUUGCAUAUAUAAAAUCAGUGAAUUACGACAAGUGGGAUUAGGAAAAGAAGAUUGGUGUCUCUGGAAGCAAGUGGGAAAGGCACUGCUCUGCACCUACACACUAUUUGGUGGUGCUUAGCUCUACAACGAAAUGUCACUGCUUGCUUAGCGGACAUUGAAGCCAAAGGCCAAAGGAGGAGAGAGAGCUAGCUCACUUUUACGAAAGGCGAGAGUUUCCAUGCCCAGGUGACACUGAAGCGAUGGAAGAGUUUAUUGCAAAAGGAGUGAUUGGAACAACAAUCGGGCCCAGAGGAGUUGUAGAAGUAGAAAAAGAUGCGUAUAAUUAUCAGAAAGAAUUGCAAAACAAGAAGUUUGAUCAAGAAGCACAAAAGCUGUGGAUAAAGAAAUGAGGAGAAUGGAGAAGAGAGCGAUGGAGAAGGAGAAGGAAAAGGGAAACGAGAAUUAGAUUAUCAGAAAGAAUUGCAAAACAAGAAGUUUGAUCAAGAAGCACAAAAGCUGUGGAUAAAGAAAUGAGGAGAAUGGAGAAGAGAGCGAUGGAGAAGGAGAAGGAAAAGGGAAACGAGAAUUAGAUUAUCAGAAAGAAUUGCAAAACAAGAAGUUUGAUCAAGAAGCACAAAAGCUGUGGAUAAAGAAAUGAGGAGAAUGGAGAAGAGAGCGAUGGAGAAGGAGAAGGAAAAGGGAAACGAGAAUUAGAUUAUCAGAAAGAAUUGCAAAACAAGAAGUUUGAUCAAGAAGCACAAAAGCUGUGGAUAA